rnacentral:lncRNA from 1 species
UUGAGUUUAAUUCAACAGAAUGGCUGGCUCAGUAGCUGUCAAGGUCUCAUGCCUGGUGUUGAUGUGCAUGUUGGUGGCUUCGCCCAUGGCAGUAGAAGGGUUGUCGUGUGGUGACGUAGCAACCCAGUUGGCCCCGUGCAUCAACUACCUGAGAAGUGCUGGCCCAUUGCCUCCGGCGUGCUGCAAUGGUGUUAAGAACCUCAAAAACUCUGCCGCCACCACACAAGACCGCAGGACCGCUUGCAAGUGCUUGAUAAAUGCUUCUAAAUCCAUCUCUGGUGUGAACUUUGGUCUGGCUGCUGGCCUCCCUGGCAAAUGUGGUGUCAACAUUCCUUACAAGAUUAGCCCCUCCAC